UACGUAGGGUGCGAGCGUUAAUCGGAAUUACUGGGCGUAAAGCGUGCGCAGGCGGUUUUGUAAGCCAGGUGUGAAAUCCCCGGGCUUAACCUGGGAAUGGCAUUUGGGACUGCAAGGCUGGAGUUUGGCAGAGGAGACUGGAAUUCCCGGUGUAGCAGUGAAAUGCGUAGAUAUCGGGAGGAAUACCGAUGGCGAAGGCAGGUCUCUGGGCUAUAACUGACGCUCAUGCACGAAAGCGUGGGGAGCAAACAGG
rnacentral:rRNA from 1 species